rnacentral:rRNA from 1 species
GGCCUAACACAUGCAAGUCGAGCGGUAGCACAGAGAGCUUGCUCUCGGGUGACGAGCGGCGGACGGGUGAGUAAUGUCUGGGAAACUGCCUGAUGGAGGGGGAUAACUACUGGAAACGGUAGCUAAUACCGCAUAACGUCGCAAGACCAAAGUGGGGGACCUUCGGGCCUCAUGCCAUCAGAUGUGCCCAGAUGGGAUUAGCUAGUAGGUGGGGUAAUGGCUCACCUAGGCGACGAUCCCUAGCUGGUCUGAGAGGAUGACCAGCCACACUGGAACUGAGACACGGUCCAGACUCCUACGGGAGGCAGCAGUGGGGAAUAUUGCACAAUGGGCGCAAGCCUGAUGCAGCCAUGCCGCGUGUAUGAAGAAGGCCUUCGGGUUGUAAAGUACUUUCAGCGAGGAGGAAGGCAUUAAGGUUAAUAACCUUAGUGAUUGACGUUACUCGCAGAAGAAGCACCGGCUAACUCCGUGCCAGCAGCCGCGGUAAUACGGAGGGUGCAAGCGUUAAUCGGAAUUACUGGGCGUAAAGCGCACGCAGGCGGUCUGUUAAGUCAGAUGUGAAAUCCCCGGGCUCAACCUGGGAACUGCAUUUGAAACUGGCAGGCUUGAGUCUUGUAGAGGGGGGUAGAAUUCCAGGUGUAGCGGUGAAAUGCGUAGAGAUCUGGAGGAAUACCGGUGGCGAA